GAUCAUGGCUCAGGACGAACGCUGGCGGCGUGCCUAACACAUGCAAGUCGAACGGAGAUGUAGAUUUCGGUUUACAUCUUAGUGGCGAACGGGUGAGUAACGCGUGAGCAACCUGACCCUUUGAGGGGGAUAACACCUGGAAACAAGUGCUAAUACCGCAUAAGACCACGACCCGGCAUCGGGAUGAGGUCAAAGGAGGAAUCCGCAGAGGGAGGGGCUCGCGUCCCAUUAGAUAGUAGGCGGGGUAACGG
rnacentral:rRNA from 1 species